GAGCUCUCGUGCACCACGUCUUUGCCUGGCAGCCCCAAUCCCAUUCCUCUGUAGAUGGGAGGAGCUCACCCAUACCCAGCAUCUCUGUGCAGGGACACAUGGCUGCAGGGAGCUACGACUGCCUGAAAGGAGCACCUGUCUGGAGGAGCAAAGCUUGGUGUUAAGACGCAGGGCGAGGAGCGAAGGGGAAGAGCGCACGCCAAGGUCACAUCUGCAGCAGCAGCGACGGCAGCUGCACAGCAGCGAUAUUAAACCUCCCUCUGGUGUAGGAUACACACACAGACACUUCUUAAGAGCAACAACGAUCCACAUGAAUUGGAGCAGUCCCCAGAGGAGAGCUGCGUGGCUGGCGUGGCAGGGGGUGACUGAAGGGCACACAGUGAGGGUGGGAGCAGCGUGCCCGGCUGUAGAUGAGAGAUUCUCAGCUUUAUCACCCCCAAGUUUGGCAGUGAUUUGCAACUGGGGAGACGCUCAGCUCACCGCUUGCAAGGAAGCAGUGUGACCUGUGCCAAGAAGCAACGAGCAUCAGAAGGUGGAUAUUUCAACUGAACCUCCUGGGUGGAAUCGGAGAACAGAGGAAAAGGGGAGAGCAAGCGACAGAUGCCCACUGCUGCAAAGUACCGUUCAGCAUCUCCCAAAGGGUGAUCCAUCAGAAGGGACGUGCUGCUAAUCAGCAUGAAACCGACACACGUCACAUCCCCACAGAGCACAACACAGUGCAGAACAGCUCCGCAGAGA
rnacentral:lncRNA from 1 species